AGUGAACGCUGGCGGUAGGCCUAACACAUGCAAGUCGAACGGCAGCACAGUAAGAGCUUGCUCUUACGGGUGGCGAGUGGCGGACGGGUGAGGAAUACAUCGGAAUCUACUUUUUCGUGGGGGAUAACGUAGGGAAACUUACGCUAAUACCGCAUACGACCUACGGGUGAAAGCAGGGGAUCUUCGGACCUUGCGCGAUUGAAUGAGCCGAUGUCGGAUUAGCUAGUUGGCGGGGUAAUGGCCCACCAAGGCGACGAUCCGUAGCUGGUCUGAGAGGAUGAUCAGCAACACUGGAACUGAGACACGGUCCAGACUCCUACGGGAGGCAGCAGUGGGGAAUAUUGGACAAUGGGCGCAAGCCUGAUCCAGCCAUACCGCGUGGGUGAAGGAGGCCUUCGGGUUGUAAAGCCCUUUUGUUGGGAAAGAAAAGCAGCAGGUUAAUACCCCGCUGUUCUGACGGUACCCAAAGAAUAAGCACCGGCUAACUUCGUG
rnacentral:rRNA from 1 species